rnacentral:lncRNA from 1 species
CCGAGGCGCAGUGCAUCGCCAAUCAGGUUCAGCUCUUCUACGCCACUGAUCGGAAGGAGAUCUAUGGGCUAGUAGAGACCUUUAACUUCAGACCAAAUGAGUUCAAAUAUAUGUCUGUCAUCGCUGAAUUGGAGCAAAGUGGACUUGGAGCAGAACUGAAAUGUGCCCAGACCCAAGAUAAGACUUAGAGAUAUCUGGAUUGGCCCUUCACAGUGCUGACUCAGUCCUGGAUAGCCUGAAGCCCACCCACGCCCUUGAAUUCCAGAGCUCAGCAUCUGCAGCAAGCAGUCUGUCAAGAGUUACUGUGUGUGCAAGAAGUGAUUGUGGACCUGAACCCUACUACUUGAUAUUCAGGAACAAAGAUAUACAAAUAUUCUGAUAAUUACCUCUCAGCAUAAGGGUUCCUGUUCAGUGUUUCUGGCCUUUAGAAUGAGAAACAUUCAGAGAUGCAUAUGACUAUUGGCUGGGUUUUAUUUCGUGUAAUAGUGCAGUUGCAUUCUGGCCGUUUUGACCUCAUAGCUCCCAGUUCUGCGUCUUCAUAAUUGUAUGUAGCAAUAAGCUUGAAGAUCCUAGAGAUGUUGGCUUUAUGGACUCUUUCCAUGCACCAGUGAGCUGGCUAAAACCAUAACCCAAAAAUCUGGCCAGACUCUAAUACAGCCAGCGAUUCUCACCAGAAUAAAGACUUGUAGAUGCCCCUCCAGAGUUGCCUUCAAUGUAACUCAGUGAAUUACGGGUAUACUCAAAUAGACAGGUACAGUGCCUGCAUACUGUUAAACUUUAGCUUAUGGCCCUACUCCCUGAACUCCGCCUGUGAGAAGCCAAUGAAUCACUACAGUGUAAAUAAAACCUUUUUCUAAGGAGAUCAUUAGAUUUGCAUGAUUAAAAAAAUAAGUGUAAUGUGAAUUGGGUUCAAAUGUUCCCAGAUUGGACAUAGGGAAUGCAGCAAUAAAAUAAGUCUCGUUUUCAGUUCCUGUUACACAGAAUAGUGGAAACUAAGCUUUAUACUGUUGGUGGCAUCCAUGUCGUGGGUUAAUUUUAUCAGAACUUGUCUUGAGGCUCAGUGAUUUCUUGAAACACCAGAAAUAAGCAAGUUAUUCCCCAGCACCAGAAGCACAUGUCGCUUUGUGGCUCCAAGUUCAUUGGUGAAAAAGGAUGGUAGGUCCAUACCAAAGCCCUGGGUGUCCCCCAGCAUUAUUGGCUCUCCCUGUACCACACCUGUCAUUUGGUCUUAAUCUGCCACCAACUGAUCUUGUUGGAUGCCACCAAAUACUGUGAGUAGAAACUUAAGUAGUGUUUUCAAUUUAUUGUAUAUGUUCUUCUUUACGGUUGUUUUGUUUUGUUUUGUUUUGUUUU